GCCUGGCUGGCUCAGUAGGUAGAGCAUGUGACUCUUGAUCUUAGGUCUGUGAGUUUGAGCCCCACAUUGGGUG
rnacentral:tRNA from 1 species